CCCCUAGAUGUUCUGGGCCGCACGCGCGCUACACUGAACAGUUCAACAAGUCUUAACCUUGGCCGAUAGGUCUGGGUAAUCUUUGAACGCUGUUCGUGAUUGGGAUAGACCUUUGCAAUUAUGGGUCUUCAACGAGGAAUUCCUAGUAAACGCAAGUCAUCAGCUUGCAUUGAUUACGUCCCUGCCCUUUGUACACACCGCCCGUCGCACCUACCGAUUGAAUGGUCCGGUGAAAUCUCGGGACGGCGGCUUGGUCGCUUGCGUCCGACUGCGGAAACUUGAUUAAACCAUAUCAUUUAGAGGAAGGUGAAGUCGUAACA
rnacentral:rRNA from 1 species